UUUAGGGGCAAUAAACUUAUUGCCGAUAUAGUAUUCCUAAAAUUGAGAUAUUAGCGGUAGAUCAAUACUUUCUAGGAAAAGGUGCUCUUUUACUGUCAAUUAAACGGUUUUCCCUCCCAUUAUUUUUCACAACAAUCACCUAUUCCCUCUAAAUAUUUUUCCCGUAAUUUGAAUAGAUUCAAUUAAGGAAAAAUUUAGAUGGAGGAAAUAAGCAAAAGGGCUUUCAUCUCUCUCAGUCGCGCCGAUGCCAAUCUCAUCUUUUUCUAAUCAUCGCCGACCAUCAACCCAAGUAAUGAACUCUUCUCGAUCUUUCUCAAUGAGACAACAUCAUAUUCAUAUGGGCAAUUCUAGAGGCUUUGCUGCAGGAAAUAUAUGUAUAGGGAAAGUUGAAGUUGUUCAGAUCACCAAGUUUAAGGAAUAGUGGUUACCAUUGUUAUUCUCAACAUACUAAUAGCCAAAUAAUUUGCAACUCUUGUUCUAUUCUAGGUCAUAUAAAUAAUGUCCAAAAAUAUAGCACUUGGAAGAUUUCAAUACGAUGAAGAAUUGCGGAAUUAUUUUUGUGAACUUAUGUAUCUAUUAUUUUGUUAUUGUGGGUAUUCGAUAGGAUUAGUUGUAAUGACACUAAUUAUAUAAUUCAAUAUAAUUUUAUCUUUUAUGUCGUUCUUA